AACCAUAGAAACCUGCGGAGUACCUGCGGAAGGAUCAUUACCGGGUUUACAACUCCCAAACCCCUGUGAACAUACCAAUUGUUGCCUCGGCGGAUCAGCCCGCUCCCGGUAAAACGGGACGGCCCGCCAGAGGACCCCUAAACUCUGUUUCUAUAUGUAACUUCUGAGUAAAACCAUAAAUAAAUCAAAACUUUCAACAACGGAUCU
rnacentral:misc_RNA from 1 species